rnacentral:rRNA from 1 species
CCUACGGGAGGCAGCAGAGGGGAAUAUUGGGCAAUGGGCGCAAGCCUGACCCAGCAACGCCGCGUGAAGGAAGAAGGCUUUCGGGUUGUAAACUUCUUUUGACAGGGAAGAGUAGCAGCCGGUACCUGUCGAAUCAGCCACGGCUAACUACUUGCCAGCAGCCGCGUUAAUACGUAGGUGGCAAGCGUUGUCCGGAUUUACUGGGGGUAAAGGGCGUGUAGCCGGGUUGACAAGUCAGAUGUGAAAUCCUGCGGCUUAACCGCAGAACUGCAUUUGAAACUGUUGAUCUUGAGUACGGGAGAGGCAGACGGAAUUCCUAGUGUAGCGGUGAAAUGCGUAGAUAUUAGGAGGAACACCAGUGGCGAAGGCGGUCUGCUGGACAGCAACUGACGGUGAGGCGCGAAAGCGUGGGGAGCAAACAGGAUUAGAUACCCGGGUAGUC